rnacentral:rRNA from 1 species
GGGUUGUGAGGUUAAGCGACUAAGCGUACACGGUGGAUGCCCUGGCAGUCAGAGGCGAUGAAGGGCGUGCUAAUCUGCGAUAAGCGCCGGUAAGGUGAUAUGAACCGUUAUAACCGGCGAUACCCGAAUGGGGAAACCCAGUGUGAUUCGUCACACUAUCAUUAACUGAAUCCAUAGGUUAAUGAGGCGAACCGGGGGAACUGAAACAUCUAAGUACCCCGAGGAAAAGAAAUCAACCGAGAUUCCCCCAGUAGCGGCGAGCGAACGGGGAGGAGCCCAGAGCCUGAAUCAGCAUGUGUGUUAGUGGAAGCGUCUGGAAAGGCGCGCGAUACAGGGUGACAGCCCCGUACACAAAAGCGCAUGUGCUGUGAGCUCGAUGAGUAGGGCGGGACACGUGGUAUCCUGUCUGAAUAUGGGGGGACCAUCCUCCAAGGCUAAAUACUCCUGACUGACCGAUAGUGAACCAGUACCGUGAGGGAAAGGCGAAAAGAACCCCGGCGAGGGGAGUGAAAAAGAACCUGAAACCGUGUACGUACAAGCAGUGGGAGCACCCUUUUGGGUGUGACUGCGUACCUUUUGUAUAAUGGGUCAGCGACUUAUAUUCUGUAGCAAGGUUAACCGAAUAGGGGAGCCGUAGGGAAACCGAGUCUUAACCGGGCGUUAAGUUGCAGGGUAUAGACCCGAAACCCGGUGAUCUAGCCAUGGGCAGGUUGAAGGUUGGGUAACACUAACUGGAGGACCGAACCGACUAAUGUUGAAAAAUUAGCGGAUGACCUGUGGCUGGGGGUGAAAGGCCAAUCAAACCGGGAGAUAGCUGGUUCUCCCCGAAAGCUAUUUAGGUAGCGCCUCGUGAAUUCAUCUCCGGGGGUAGAGCACUGUUUCGGCUAGGGGGCCAUCCCGGCUUACCAACCCGAUGCAAACUGCGAAUACCGGAGAAUGUUAUCACGGGAGACACACGGCGGGUGCUAACGUCCGUCGUGAAGAGGGAAACAACCCAGACCGCCAGCUAAGGUCCCAAAGUCAUGGUUAAGUGGGAAACGAUGUGGGAAGGCCCAGACAGCCAGGAUGUUGGCUUAGAAGCAGCCAUCAUUUAAAGAAAGCGUAAUAGCUCACUGGUCGAGUCGGCCUGCGCGGAAGAUGUAACGGGGCUAAACCAUGCACCGAAGCUGCGGCAGCGACACUGUGUGUUGUUGGGUAGGGGAGCGUUCUGUAAGCCUGUGAAGGUGUGUCGUGAGGCAUGCUGGAGGUAUCAGAAGUGCGAAUGCUGACAUAAGUAACGAUAAAGCGGGUGAAAAGCCCGCUCGCCGGAAGACCAAGGGUUCCUGUCCAACGUUAAUCGGGGCAGGGUGAGUCGACCCCUAAGGCGAGGCCGAAAGGCGUAGUCGAUGGGAAACAGGUUAAUAUUCCUGUACUUGGUGUUACUGCGAAGGGGGGACGGAGAAGGCUAUGUUGGCCGGGCGACGGUUGUCCCGGUUUAAGCGUGUAGGUGUGUGUUCCAGGUAAAUCCGGUUCACUUUAACACUGAGGCGUGAUGACGAGGCACUACGGUGCUGAAGCAACAAAUGCCCUGCUUCCAGGAAAAGCCUCUAAGCAUCAGGUAACAUCAAAUCGUACCCCAAACCGACACAGGUGGUCAGGUAGAGAAUACCAAGGCGCUUGAGAGAACUCGGGUGAAGGAACUAGGCAAAAUGGUGCCGUAACUUCGGGAGAAGGCACGCUGACACGUAGGUGAAGUGAUUUACUCAUGGAGCUGAAGUCAGUCGAAGAUACCAGCUGGCUGCAACUGUUUAUUAAAAACACAGCACUGUGCAAACACGAAAGUGGACGUAUACGGUGUGACGCCUGCCCGGUGCCGGAAGGUUAAUUGAUGGGGUCAGCGCAAGCGAAGCUCCUGAUCGAAGCCCCGGUAAACGGCGGCCGUAACUAUAACGGUCCUAAGGUAGCGAAAUUCCUUGUCGGGUAAGUUCCGACCUGCACGAAUGGCGUAAUGAUGGCCAGGCUGUCUCCACCCGAGACUCAGUGAAAUUGAACUCGCUGUGAAGAUGCAGUGUACCCGCGGCAAGACGGAAAGACCCCGUGAACCUUUACUAUAGCUUGACACUGAACAUUGAGCCUUGAUGUGUAGGAUAGGUGGGAGGCUUUGAAGCGUGGACGCCAGUCUGCGUGGAGCCGACCUUGAAAUACCACCCUUUAAUGUUUGAUGUUCUAACGUGGACCCGUAAUCCGGGUUGCGGACAGUGUCUGGUGGGUAGUUUGACUGGGGCGGUCUCCUCCUAAAGAGUAACGGAGGAGCACGAAGGUUGGCUAAUCCUGGUCGGACAUCAGGAGGUUAGUGCAAUGGCAUAAGCCAGCUUGACUGCGAGCGUGACGGCGCGAGCAGGUGCGAAAGCAGGUCAUAGUGAUCCGGUGGUUCUGAAUGGAAGGGCCAUCGCUCAACGGAUAAAAGGUACUCCGGGGAUAACAGGCUGAUACCGCCCAAGAGUUCAUAUCGACGGCGGUGUUUGGCACCUCGAUGUCGGCUCAUCACAUCCUGGGGCUGAAGUAGGUCCCAAGGGUAUGGCUGUUCGCCAUUUAAAGUGGUACGCGAGCUGGGUUUAGAACGUCGUGAGACAGUUCGGUCCCUAUCUGCCGUGGGCGCUGGAGAACUGAGGGGGGCUGCUCCUAGUACGAGAGGACCGGAGUGGACGCAUCACUGGUGUUCGGGUUGUCAUGCCAAUGGCACUGCCCGGUAGCUAAAUGCGGAAGAGAUAAGUGCUGAAAGCAUCUAAGCACGAAACUUGCCCCGAGAUGAGUUCUCCCUGAGACUUAGAGUCUCCUGAAGGAACGUUGAAGACGACGACGUUGAUAGGCCGGGUGUGUAAGCGCAGCGAUGCGUUGAGCUAACCGGUACUAAUGAACCGUGAGGCUUAACCUUACAACGCCGAAG